rnacentral:rRNA from 1 species
UGGGGAAUAUUGGACAAUGGGCGCAAGCCUGAUCCAGCCAUGCCGCGUGAGUGAUGAAGGCCCUAGGGUUGUAAAGCUCUUUUGUGCGGGAAGAUAAUGACGGUACCGAAGAAAAAGCAUCGGCUAACUCCGUGCCAGCAGCCGCGGUAAUACGGAGGAUGCGAGCGUUAUCCGGAUUUAUUGGGUUUAAAGGGUGCGUAGGCGGGUCUUUAAGUCAGGGGUGAAAUCCUGGAGCUCAACUCCAGAACUGCCUUUGAUACUGAAGAUCUUGAGUUCGGGAGAGGUGAGUGGAACUGCGAGUGUAGAGGUGAAAUUCGUAGAUAUUCGCAAGAACACCAGUGGCGAAGGCGGCUCACUGGCCCGAUACUGACGCUGAGGCACGAAAGCGUGGGGAGCAAACAGG